AUUGAACGCUGGCGGCAUGCUUUACACAUGCAAGUCGAACGGCAGCGCGGGGCAACCUGGUGGCGAGUGGCGAACGGGUGAGUAAUAUAUCGGAACGUACCCAGAAGUGGGGGAUAACGUAGCGAAAGUUACGCUAAUACCGCAUACGAUCUACGGAUGAAAGUAGGGGACCGCAAGGCCUUAUGCUUUUGGAGCGGCCGAUAUCUGAUUAGCUAGUUGGUGAGGUAAAGGCUCACCAAGGCGACGAUCAGUAGCUGGUCUGAGAGGACGACCAGCCACACUGGAACUGAGACACGGUCCAGACUCCUACGGGAGGCAGCAGUGGGGAAUUUUGGACAAUGGGCGCAAGCCUGAUCCAGCAAUGCCGCGUGAGUGAAGAAGGCCUUCGGGUUGUAAAGCUCUUUUGUCAGGGAAGAAACGGUAGAGGCUAAUAUCCUUUGCUAAUGACGGUACCUGAAGAAUAAGCACCGGCUAACUACGUG
rnacentral:rRNA from 1 species